GAACCAUUUGCUGAGCCUGCCUCUUGCUCUUCGAGGCUCCCGUGGAGGGCACCGCUGUCCCCAGGCACUGGACGGCCAGCAGCAGCAGCCCGGGCCCCGGACCCCUAAGCAUGUUGAGACGGUGGGGGAGAGACGCCCGCACCGGGAGGCAAGUUGCCACCAAGUUUGCUUCCCUUCGCAACCUGCGGGAAAAAUCCCUUCUAAUGCCUCCCGGGGGUUGUCGCCUCCAAGAAGGUGGGGGCCAGAGGGUGGGGAAGGGGACGGGUGGAGGGACAGAAGGGAUGCAGAGGACCAGAGAAGUUGUGGCUGCAGGUCCCCUCUUCCCGCUCGCGCCUGGGGUUCCCUCUCCUCCCCCUGUGCAGCACAGCCGGCGCGGGCGUCCGAGCGCCGGGAGCCGGGGCUUAUAUGGGACGGUCCCCUCCCGCCCCUCUGGAGGCCCGGGGCGCGGGGGAGGAGAGACCCGCCGGGCUGUCCCCGCCCCGCCCCACCCCACCCGCCCGCCCGCCCGCCGGCCGCCGCAGCCGACCGCGCGCCGAUUGGCCCGGGCUCCGGGUGACGUCACGGGGGACUGUGGGUUCGCAGCGAACAAAAGAGAUGCUGAUGGCCCGCCAGGACUGGGGAAAGCCUUCCUUUCCUGGGGAUGGGACGCCCGUUUCCACUGAAAGUGAAAUCACUGUGAACAACCUGAAAAUUGGAAAGUUGGACCAGCUGUGGGGAGAGAAAGGUCUUCGUGUCCUUUCCCACGUUCACCGUGCCAGUUACACACAAAGCAGAGAUUUUUUUGCUUGAAUCAUUAAAAGCCGGGUGGGUGGGGGGCACCCUAUGUACUGUCUUGCCCUCCUUCGGCCCCUUUCUCACAUUUAUUUGCCAUUUUCUUUUUGCUGACAAGUUCCAUUACAGAAUGCCCCCUCCAUCCCCCGCCGCCAGAUUUUUUAUAUUUCAAUUGUUAUUUACUCCAAGAGUGUGGAAAGUUCUCCUUUAAGAUUCCCCCGCCUUGAACUCUAAACUCAGAGUGGAAAGGGAAUCUGAAAAGUCUCUCAUUUAGCAACACAUCACAUCAGUCCUUUUUGUCAGAUAAACACAGGCACAAUUGCUUUUAAAGAUCUUCAGAAGGAGGAGUCCACCACUUCCACAGUAGAUCCAGAGAGACCCGAACUGAAUGCUUUGCCUUCUCCUUGUGUUAGGAGUUCAGAGGUUCCAUUUGCUUUAAAACACAAGAAGCUACUAAUAAAAUAUAUUUAUUUCGGCAAGGUACCUAUUUUCUCCAAAAGUUUCACCUUCAGUAAUUGCCACAGGAGUAAUUAGAACUCUGUGUUCUAUAAAAUGCCUGACACAUUAAAGACACAAAAUUAGCAUUUGUUUUUAUUCAUGCAAGGAUUUAAAACCAAACCAAAACAAAGCAAAACACCCAGCAAAUAUCAGUUUCCUACAAAUAGUGUAAAAAAACCUCUUGAGGAAUCUUUGUGACCCACACUCCAAAUUGAAAGAGUGCCAUGGAUUUCCCCAAAUUUAGAAUCCUGUCUGGGUUAGAGGAUUUUUUUGGAAUUUCUCAUCACUUGACAAAACAGUUUUCUCUUUUCAAAUAUAAAAGAGCUCCUUGUAAAAUGCUUGGUAAAUUUCUGGGAAGCCGAGUGUUUCUUCCAGAGGGAAGGAUACCUGGAAAUCCGGAUGUAAGCAAGAUAAACCUGUAGCUAAAGCUUUCUUAAAAUUCAUUGAUUCUGGGGGAAGGAAAUAAGUGAUUAGAAAAGUAUUUGGUCAACCAAAACCAUGAUAGUUUGAUAUAUUUACUGCACUGAAAAUACACUAGAAUCAUAUGCAUAGUGGAGCUUGAAGUGGAAAGCCCACCUUACAUUUUGGAAGAAACUUUUAUAUUUCAAUCCCAUAGAUAUCUAAUUUAUUUAAGGAAACAGGAUAUCUCUGUCUCAUAAGAAAAAAAAUAACAUCUGACUGAUUUUUAUAGGAAUGCUUGGGAGUUUACUCUUUUACUUGAAAGGUUUUUUUUUUUUUUGCCUUUUUUUUUAAACUUUAGAAACAGAGGCGUUUCUUAGUUAAGAUAACAGGGCUUACUACAGUAUUCUUUAAUUAUCAAGGUCCCUUGUAACUCUAAGUCUGUUAUCUCUAAUUGGAGAGAUAAUUAAAUCUUAAAGACCACUCUGACUCUAAUUCAACCAACGUGUGUGGUGUCCAGGAUCGUUGGACUUCCUUAAGAAUUCUAUUUUAUCCAGGUGGGUUCUUCCUCAGUAAAUUGUAUUCUCCUAUUGGUAGGAAAUACUCUUGGAUUUCUUUCUUUCUUUCUUUUUCUUUCUUUCUUUCUUUCUUUCUUUCUUUCUUUCUUUCUUUCUUUUUCCUUCUUUCCUUCUUUCUUUCUAAAACUGUAUUCAGAGAGAGAAAUGUGACAAAAAAAGGGAAAUCAAUAGAGACAGAAAGUAGAUUCAUGGGUACCCAAGUUUAUGGGCUGGGAACAGGAAUUAACUGUAAAAGGGCACAGGGAAUCUUAUUGAGGUGAUGGAAAUCUGUGUUCUAAAACUACAUUGCAGUGAUGACUGUACAAUUUGGUAAAAGCUUCAAAAUUCUGGGGAUUAUACACAAAAUGAGUGAAUUUUACGGUAUGUAAAUUAUGCUUCAAUAAAGUUGUUUUUUUCAAAA
rnacentral:lncRNA from 1 species